CGCAAGGACGCGAUGUUUGCCGACGUGAACUGUAGAACGACGCCGUAGCAGAAUUUCGCUGCGAGCUCAAAGGCCUCUGACCCGCCGGGAACUCCGGGUAGGUUGAGGUGGUAAGUGUUCUUCGUGUCUUUUGAUUCAAGAAGAAGCUUCCUGAUUCUUCCACUCCGAGAGACGAGAGGAAACUGAAAACAAAAACAGAGACAAUGAGCCGACUUCUAUGGUCAAGUCACUCGUAACGUCCGAGACCGGCCUGGAAACACAUACACAAUUUUUUGAGGACCCAUAAGCCAACAACGUUAAACUCAUUCUUGUCUAAAAGAAAGAAAGUAAAAGAGAUUAGUACCAUUGAGGAGUGUGUCUGAUGCUUGAACUUGGGCGAAAUGCUUUUUUGCCAGAAA